GGGUGAGUAAUACUUAGGAAUCUGCCUAUUAGUGGGGGACAACAUCUCGAAAGGGAUGCUAAUACCGCAUACGUCCUACGGGAGAAAGCAGGGGAUCACUUGUGACCUUGCGCUAAUAGAUGAGCCUAAGUCGGAUUAGCUAGUUGGUGGGGUAAAGGCCUACCAAGGCGACGAUCUGUAGCGGGUCUGAGAGGAUGAUCCGCCACACUGGGACUGAGACACGGCCCAGACUCCUACGGGAGGCAGCAGUGGGGAAUAUUGGACAAUGGGGGGAACCCUGAUCCAGCCAUGCCGCGUGUGUGAAGAAGGCCUUAUGGUUGUAAAGCACUUUAAGCGAGGAGGAGGCUUACCUAGUUAAUACCUAGGAUAAGUGGACGUUACUCGCAGAAUAAGCACCGGCUAACUCUGUGCCAGCAGCCGCGGUAAUACAGAGGGUGCAAGCGUUAAUCGGAUUUACUGGGCGUAAAGCGCGCGUAGGCGGCUAAUUAAGUCAAAUGUGAAAUCCCCGAGCUUAACUUGGGAAUUGCAUUCGAUACUGGUUGGCUAGAGUGUGGGAGAGGAUGGUAGAAUUUCCAGGUGUAGCGGUGAAAUGCGUAGAGAUCUGGAGGAAUACCGAUGGCGAAGGCAGCCAUCUGGCCUAACACUGACGCUGAGGUGCGAAAGCAUGGGGAGCAAACAGGAUUAGAUACCCUGGUAGUCCAUGCCGUAAACGAUGUCUACUAGCCGUUGGGGCCUUUGAGGCUUUAGUGGCGCAGCUAACGCGAUAAGUAGACCGCCUGGGGAGUACGGUCGCAAGACUAAAACUCAAAUGAAUUGACGGGGGCCCGCACAAGCGGUGGAGCAUGUGGUUUAAUUCGAUGCAACGCGAAGAACCUUACCUGGCCUUGACAUAGUAGAAACUUUCCAGAGAUGGAUUGGUGCCUUCGGGAAUCUACAUACAGGUGCUGCAUGGCUGUCGUCAGCUCGUGUCGUGAGAUGUUGGGUUAAGUCCCGCAACGAGCGCAACCCUUUUCCUUACUUGCCAGCAUUUCGGAUGGGAACUUUAAGGAUACUGCCAGUGACAAACUGGAGGAAGGCGGGGACGACGUCAAGUCAUCAUGGCCCUUACGGCCAGGGCUACACACGUGCUACAAUGGUCGGUACAAAGGGUUGCUACCUAGCGAUAGGAUGCUAAUCUCAAAAAGCCGAUCGUAGUCCGGAUUGGAGUCUGCAACUCGACUCCAUGAAGUCGGAAUCGCUAGUAAUCGCGGAUCAGAAUGCCGCGGUGAUUUCGUUCCCGGGCCUUAUUUUCUCCGCCCG
rnacentral:rRNA from 1 species